AUUGAAAGCUGGCGGCCGGCCUAACACAUGCAAGUCGAGCGAGCGGCGGGCGGGGGAGUAAUGUAUGGGGAUACGGCCGGUAGAGGGGGAUAACUUAUGGAAACGGUUGCUUAUAACGGAUACUAUCGAAUGAACCCCUAUGGGAUUAGCUAGUAGGUGGGGUAAAGGCUCACCUAGGCGACGAUCCCUAGCUGGUCUGAGAGGAUGAUCAGCCACACUGGGACUGAGACACAGCCCAGACUCCUACGGGAGGCAGCAGUGGGGAAUAUUGCACAAUGGGCGCAAGCCUGAUGCAGCCAUGCCGCGUGUAUGAAGAAGGCCUUAGGGUUGUAAAGUACUUUCAGUGGGGAGGCGUUACCCGCAGAAGAAGCACCGGCUAACUCCGUGCCAGCAGCCGCGGUAAUAC
rnacentral:rRNA from 1 species